CCUACGGGUGGCUGCAGUGGGGAAUAUUGCACAAUGGGCGCAAGCCUGAUGCAGCCAUGCCGCGUGUGUGAAGAAGGCCUUCGGGUUGUAAAGCACUUUCAGCGGGGAGGAAGGCGGUGAGGUUAAUAACCUCAUCGAUUGACGUUACCCGCAGAAGAAGCACCGGCUAACUCCGUGCCAGCAGCCGCGGUAAUACGGAGGGUGCAAGCGUUAAUCGGAACUACUGGGCGUAAAGCGCACGCAGGCGGUCUGUCAAGUCGGAUGUGAAAUCCCCGGGCUCAACCUGGGAACUGCAUUCGAAACUGGCAGGCUAGAGUCUUGUAGAGGGGGGUAGAAUUCCAGGUGUAGCGGUGAAAUGCGUAGAGAUCUGGAGGGAUACCGGUGGCGAAGGCGGCCCCCUGGACAAAGACUGACGCUCAGGUGCGAAAGCGUGGGGAGCAAACAGGAUUAGAUACCCGAGUAGUC
rnacentral:rRNA from 1 species